CUAACGUGCGUUGAAUUCCAUCAACACUUACGUAUUUUACCGUUGGCAACAUAGUUUUUGUGGACCAGCAACAUGCUGCGAAUACUAAGCAGCAUUGUUCCCCAACAUUUUUCUUGGAAUAAGCAACAUUUAGUACCCUUGGAGGUAAGGAUGUCCUCGAAUUGAAGAAAUGCUGGAAAUCCUUGGCUCGAAUCAAUGAAAAAACAAACAAAUCUGCAAUGGAGAG
rnacentral:lncRNA from 1 species